rnacentral:rRNA from 1 species
UGCCAGUAGUCAUAUGCUUGUCUCAAAGACUAAGCCAUGCAUGUCUAAGUAUGAAUGUUAUACAGUGAAACUGCGAAUGGCUCAUUAAAACAGUUAUUGUUUAUUUGAUAAUCAAAUUUACAUGGAUAACCGUGGUAAUUCUAGAGCUAAUACAUGCUGAUAUGCCUGACUCUUAGGAAGGGCUGUAUUUAUUAGAUAACAAACCAAUAUUCCUCGUGUCUAUUGUGAUGACUCAUAAUAACUGAUCGAAUCGCAUGGACUUUGUCCGCGAUACAUCAUUCAAGUUUCUGCCCCAUCAGCUUUCGAUGGUAGUGUAUUGGACUACCAUGGCUUUAACGGGUAACGGAGGAUUAGGGUUCGAUUCCGGAGAGGGAGCCUGAGAAACGGCUACCACAUCUAAGGAAGGCAGCAGGCGCGUAAAUUACCCAAUCCUAAUUCAGGGAGGUAGUGACAAGAAAUAACGGACUGAGGCCUACGCUUCAGGAUUGCAAUGAGUAGAAUUUAAACCCCUUUGCGAGGAUCAAUUG